rnacentral:lncRNA from 1 species
UGAGAUUGGGAGAGAACGAUUUUGUUACUAUUCCAAUUUAUUUUUUUCUUUAAUUUGUUUUAAACAGAAUAAGUUUUUGAAACCAUUAAAAUUUUUGUUUAAACUUCCUAAAUAGUUAAUAAAUAUUUCCUCCUUUUCAAUUCAUAUUCCCAUUGAAAAACCCAACAGCCAAGCGGCUGGGUUUAAUUAUUGGUAGUCCAACAGAUUUCUUUUUUAUUAGUUUUUUAUUUUA